rnacentral:rRNA from 1 species
UUCGACGCAACGCGAAGAACCUUACCAAGGCUCGACAUAUACCGAAAAGCAGCAGAGAUGUUGUGUCCGCAAGGGCGGUAUACAGGUGGUGCAUGGUUGUCGUCAGCUCGUGUCGUGAGAUGUUGGGUUAAGUCCCGCAACGGGCGCAACCCUCGUUCUGUGUUGCCAGCAUUUAGUUGGGGGCUCACAGGAGACUGCCGUGGUCAACACGGAGGAAGGUGGGGAUGACGUCAAAUCAUCAUGCCCCUUAUGUCUUGGGCUGCACGCAUGCUACAAUGGCAGGUACAAAGGGCUGCGAUACCGUAAGGUGGAGCGAAUCCCAAAAAGUCUGUCUCAGUUCGGAUUGAGGUCUGCAACUCGACCUCAUGAAGUCGGAGUUGCUAGUAAUCGUAGAUCAGCAACGCUACGGUGAAUACGUUCCCGGGGCUUGUACACACCGCCCGUCACGUCACGAAAGUCGGUAACACCCAAAGUCAGUGGCCCAACCGCAAGGA